CUGGUUCAGCAAAAUGCUGGGCUUUAAUGGAUACCAGACAUUUUGAGCCCACCCAGAGUACGCAGUGCCAGAGUCCUUGUUUUAACACGCUCAGGCUUCAUUCUUCUGUUCUGCUAAAGAAGUUGAAUGUUUCCUUCUGAAAAGACAACACCUGCUUGGAUGGGCGGAUGCCCAACUCAUCGCAGGAAGUGAAGAAGUCAGGAACGAGCUCUGUGCCAGGAAUGGAAGACAAAACUUUGGGCAUUAUCCAUAGGGUGAUGCAGCUGAUCAGUGAUCUCUUCUGCAGGAUUUUCUUCCCUGACUUUGAGGCAAUUCAUCUGUCCUAAGAAGGUACCUGAAGAUAAUGAAGAGGCACAUAAUUUAGUAAUCUUGGCCAUCUUUUACUUGGAAGAUUAAUUUUUGUCCUUUAAGUGUCAAGGCUGGUUAAACCGAGUCAGCAGCAACACAAAGCAACAGCCAGAAUUGCAGACAGGAACUUGUGCUGAGGCGAACUGCACAAAAUAAAUGAGUCAUGGAGUCAUUUCACUAUCUGCAAAAUGAUAGACCAGUGAUGAUUAAAACAGAAAUACUCCCUGAUUUGUCUAGUCGAAGUUGGGAGCUCCGAGUUUCUCCUUUCAUUUUCUUUCCUCUGCCUACCUUUUCCACAGAAAAUUAUGUCCUUGCAUCUGUCCUGUAACUCCCCACUUCUCAUCUGCUCUGCAAAUGUUUUACUGAGAGUUGGAAACUUGUUUGCUCUCUACAGCACAGCAGGAGAGCUUGAAUGGGUUUUAUGUACGUUGCCUCUUAGGAGCAGUAAUGUAUCCAGAGGUGGAAGGGGUGUAAAUGAGCUUUUUACUGCACUUACUAAGUUAAAAAGCUAGAACUCUGAUCGUGAACUACAGUCUUUUGUGAUUGUGAUCUCUCCUCGCAGUUUCCCCAUAUUUGUGACUUGCAGCUUCUAUGGGGUUUCUGUAAUAGCACGGGAAGAGCUGGAGGAGAUGAGAGUAAUGAACAAUCAAGCAUUAUUCAUCCCAAAAUGAUAGAAUGAUAGAAUCAUUAAUUGUUUGGGCUGGAAGGGACCUUAAAGCCCAUCCAGUUCCACCCCCCCUUGCCAUGGGCAGGGACACCUCCCACUGGAUCGGGAGCUCCAAGCCCCAUCCAACCUGGCCUUGAACACCUCCAGGGAUGGGGCAGCCACCACUGCUCUGGGCACCCUGGGCCAGGGCCUCCCCAUCCUCACAAUAAAAAAUAUCUUCCUAAUAUCUAAUCUAAAUUUCCCCUCUUUCAGAUUAAAACAAUUCUCCGUCAUUUUAUCCCUACACUCCCUGAUAAAGAGCCCCUCUCCAUCUGUAGACCCCUCUUCCUGCAGACUCUCUUUAAGUACUGGAAAAGCUUGAACAUGAUUUAAGCUUCCAGACAAUGCUAAUCGCUAAAAAUAGUCCUUCAUCUUCACUAUCAUCACUUUCUCUCCUAAAUUUGUCUGUACCUUUACAGCAUGUCGCUGUCUGUUUGUAGCUGGAUUCAACGUGUGCGUCAAAUGACGAGGUUAACUCUCACAGUAAAAAAACAGCUCCUUACCCAGGUGAUCGGUUAUGCAAAAUAAAAACAUGUAUAUAUUUUAGGAAGUAAGUGAAAAAUAAGAAACACUACCAGGAUCAAACCAUAUCUUUAUUUCUGUAAGAGUAUAUUUAGGCAGGGUGGCUGUGUGGAACUGAACAAAGAACUGAUGCAUGGAAACGCAGAAUUUAUGGGGUAGGAAACUGAUUUGAAGUCUAACAUUUCUUCCCUCCCAUUGAUCACUCCUCUCAAAUCACUCUGGAUUCACUGUUUGCGUUCAUGUCACGUGAAAUAUCAGAAAAAACCCCUCUGUGUAUCAUUUAAAAAACGAUAAAAAGUGACUAUAUAUCCACUCAAAACACUCAGAUGUAUCUGGCAUAGGUUUAUUGUUCCUAUUAUUCUUUACAUGGUACACGAUAUGCAUCUAAGACCCCUCGAAACACUUCACAGCUGGAUUAAACCUGUCUUCUGUGAGAUUUUCCUUUUCUAUUAGUAAGUGAAGACAAGGCUCCAGCCUAAUCCUAUUUCAUUGUCAUCAGCUACUCCACACUUGCACUCACUCUCAUAAUUUGUGUGUGUAUAUGUGCGUGUGUGGCAUAAAUUUGCAAAUGGUAACAGAUUCACGACACGCAAAAGCCGACGCUGAGCCAACUCUCGACUGGAAAUAUCAUGAAACCCAUAGCAUUUAACGGGGUGAAUUUUUAUUUCCAGGAGUUUGGUCAGCCUUGGAUAAACAGCUCUGUUAUCCAAACAAGGACAGUCGGAGGUGUUAGUGGCUUACUUUAUUGGCAUAUUGAGUGCCCACCAGCACCUCUCUUGCUCUUCGGACCUCACAGCUGCACUAAUGCUUUGUGAACGGGAGGUCCUGGAGGUCUUGCUCGGGCUUGCAGGGAGCCGAGCAGCGUGGAAUACCUUCCAGUAACCAUUUCUGGAGCUUCCUUCUCAUUUUGAGAUCAGCUUUCUUGAACCCUGGGUGAAGGAUGCUUGUGAAUGUUGGGAGGGAGCAGCGUAGCUUUCGCUGUUGCUGGAUGCUCGACAUUUGCACAGCAAAACCUCACACACCUCAGGAAGGAGCAUCUCAAUAUUGAGGCUUCUAUUUCAAUUUUUCACUAAAUCUUGAGU